rnacentral:tRNA from 1 species
CGCGGGGUGGAGCAGUCCGGUAGCUCGUCAGGCUCAUAACCUGAAGGUCGUAGGUUCAAAUCCUACCCCCGCCACCA